rnacentral:rRNA from 1 species
UGGGGAAUAUUGGACAAUGGGCGCAAGCCUGAUCCAGCCAUGCCGCGUGAGUGAUGAAGGCCCUAGGGUUGUAAAGCUCUUUCAACGGUGACGAUGAUGACGGUAGCCGUAGAAGAAGCCCCGGCUAACUUCGUGCCAGCAGCCGCGGUAAUACGAAGGGGGCGAGCGUUGUCCGGAAUUACUGGGCGUAAAGGGCGCGUAGGCUGUGUGUCGCGUCAGGUGUGAAAGCCCCGGGCUCAACCUGGGAACUGCACUUGAUACGGGCACACUUGAGGACGGGAGAGGUGAGUGGAAUUCCCAGUGUAGAGGUGAAAUUCGUAGAUAUUGGGAAGAACACCAGUGGCGAAGGCGGCUCACUGGCCCGUUACUGACGCUGAGGCGCGAAAGCGUGGGGAGCAAACAGGAUUAGAUACCCCCGUAGUCC